rnacentral:siRNA from 1 species
AGUGGUCGGAAUCGAGUAGUUCUC